UCCGGUUGAUCCUGCCGAAGGCUACUGCUAUUGGAGUUCGAUUAAGCCAUGCGAGUCUAAGGGAUACUUGUAUCCCUGGCAUAAUGCUCAGUAACACGUGGAUAAUCUGCCCUCAGGUGAGGAAUAAACCCGGGAAACUGGGGCUAAUACCUCAUAGACACAGAAAGCUGGAAUGCUUCUGUGUUCAAAGCUCCGGCGCCUGAGGAUGAGUCUGCGGCCUAUCAGGUUGUAGUCAGGGUCAUGACCUGACUAGCCAACGACGGGUACGGGGUGUGAGAGCACUUGCCCGGAGAUGGUUUCUGAGACACGAAACCAGGCCCUACGGGGCGCAGCAGGCGCGAAAACUUCGCAAUGCGGGAAACCGUGACGAGGGAACUCCAAGUGUCUAUGCAUUGCAUAGACUGUUUUUUAGCCUAAAUAGCUAAAAGAGUAAGAGGUGGGCAAGACCGGUGCCAGCCGCCGCGGUAACACCGGCACCUCGAGUGGUAGCCACUAUUAUUGGGCCUAAAGCGUUCGUAGCCGGUUUGGUAAAUUCUUGGGUAAAUCGUACAGCUUAACUGUGCGGAUUCCGGGGACACUACCAGACUUGAGACCGGGAGAGAUCAGAGGUACUUGUAGGGGAGCGGUGAAAUGUUGUAAUCCUACAGGGACCACCAGUGGCGAAGGCGUCUGAUCAUAACGGCUUUGACGGUGAGGAACGAAACCCUGGGGCGCAAACGGGAUUAGAUACCCCGGUAGUCCAGGGCGUAAACGCUGCUGACUUGGUGUUGGAGAUCCUACGAGGGUGUCCAGUGCUGGCGCGAAGGCAUUUAGUCAGCCGCCUGGGGAGUACGGUCGCAAGACUGAAACUUAAAGGAAUUGGCGGGGGAGCACUGCAACGUGUGGAGCGUGCGGUUUAAUUGGAUUCAACGCCGGG
rnacentral:rRNA from 1 species